rnacentral:rRNA from 1 species
GUCCACGCCCUAAACGAUGCCUGCUUGGUGUUUCGAGUAUCGACCCUCGGAGCGCCGGAGCUAACGCGUUAAGCAGGCCGCCUGGGAAGUACGGCCGCAAGGCUAAAACUCAAAGGAAUAGACGGGGACUCGCACAAGCGGUGGAACAUGAGGUUUAAUUCGACAGUAAGCGAGGAACCUUACCAGGGCUUGAAAUGCAUGCUGACGGGAGACGGAAACGUUUCCCUUCUCACAAGGACAGUAUGCGCAGGUGCUGCAUGGUUGUCGU